GUGGCGAACGGGUGAGUAACACGUGAGUAACCUGCCCCUGACUCUGGGAUAAGCCCGGGAAACUGGGUCUAAUACCGGAUAUGACUACUGGCCGCAUGGCCUGGUGGUGGAAAGAAUUUCGGUUGGGGAUGGACUCGCGGCCUAUCAGCUUGUUGGUGAGGUAGUGGCUCACCAAGGCGACGACGGGUAGCCGGCCUGAGAGGGUGACCGGCCACACUGGGACUGAGACACGGCCCAGACUCCUACGGGAGGCAGCAGUGGGGAAUAUUGCACAAUGGGCGCAAGCCUGAUGCAGCGACGCCGCGUGAGGGAUGACGGCCUUCGGGUUGUAAACCUCUUUCAGUAGGGAAGAAGCGAAAGUGACGGUACCUGCAGAAGAAGCGCCGGCUAACUACGUGCCAGCAGCCGCGGUAAUACGUAGGGCGCAAGCGUUAUCCGGAUUUAUUGGGCGUAAAGAGCUCGUAGGCGGUUUGUCGCGUCUGCCGUGAAAGUCCGGGGCUUAACCCCGGAUCUGCGGUGGGUACGGGCAGACUAGAGUGAUGUAGGGGAGACUGGAAUUCCUGGUGUAGCGGUGAAAUGCGCAGAUAUCAGGAGGAACACCGAUGGCGAAGGCAGGUCUCUGGGCAUUAACUGACGCUGAGGAGCGAAAGCAUGGGGAGCGAACAGGAUUAGAUACCCUGGUAGUCCAUGCCGUAAACGUUGGGCACUAGGUGUGGGGAACAUUCCACGUUUUCCGCGCCGUAGCUAACGCA
rnacentral:rRNA from 1 species